rnacentral:rRNA from 1 species
GUUGACCUCGGAUCAGGUAGGAGUACCCGCUGAACUUAAGCAU